rnacentral:rRNA from 1 species
CUGAAUACAUAGGUGUGUGAAGCGAACGCGGCGAACUGAAACAUCUAAGUAGCUGCAGGAAAAGAAAUCAACCGAGAUUCCCAAAGUAGUGGCGAGCGAAAUGGGAAGAGCCUGUACGUGAUAGUCGGACUGAUAGUGGAACCUCCUGGAAAUGAGGGCCAUAGCGGGUGAUAGCCCCGUACACGAAAUCAGACCGGUGGUACUAAGCGUACGACAAGUAGGGCGGGACACGAGAAAUCCUGUCUGAACAUGGGGGGACCAUCCUCCAAGGCUAAAUACUCGUAAUCGACCGAUAGUGAACCAGUACCGUGAGGGAAAGGCGAAAAGAACCCCGGGAGGGGAGUGAAAUAGAUCCUGAAACCGUGUGCAUACAAACAGUAGGAGCCUCGUAAGGGGUGACUGCGUACCUUUUGUAUAAUGGGUCAGCGACUUACAUUCAGUGGCGAGGUUAACCGAAUAGGGGAGCCGUAGAGAAAUCGAGUCCGAACAGGGCGCCAGUCGCUGGGUGUAGACCCGAAACCAAGUGAUCUAUCCAUGGCCAGGUUGAAGGUGCGGUAACACGCACUGGAGGACCGAACCCACUAAUGUUGAAAAAUUAGGGGAUGAGCUGUGGAUAGGGGUGAAAGGCUAAACAAACUUGGAAAUAGCUGGUUCUCUCCGAAAACUAUUUAGGUAGUGCCUCAAGUAUCACCGACGGGGGUAGAGCACUGUUAUGGCUAGGGGGUCAUCGCGACUUACCAAACCAUUGCAAACUCCGAAUACCGUUGAGUGCGAGCUUGGGAGACAGACAUCGGGUGCUAACGUCCGGUGUCAAGAGGGAAACAACCCAGACCGCCAGCUAAGGUCCCAAAGAUUGGCUAAGUGGAAAACGAAGUGGGAAGGCUAAAACAGUCAGGAUGUUGGCUUAGAAGCAGCCAUCAUUUAAAGAAAGCGUAAUAGCUCACUGAUCGAGUCGUCCUGCGCGGAAGAUGUAACGGGGCUAAGCCAGUCACCGAAGCUGCGGAUAUCCG